AGAGUUUGAUCAUGGCUCAGAUUGAACGCUGGCGGCGUGCCUAACACAUGCAAGUCGAGCGGUAACAGGCGUAGCAAUACGUGCUGACGAGCGGCGGACGGGUGAGUAAUGCUUGGGAAUCUUCCCGGUAGUGGGGAAUAACCAGCCGAAAGGUUGGCUAAUACCGCAUACGUUCUACGGAAGAAAGCGGGGGACCGUAAGGCCUCGCGCUAUCGGAUGAGCCCAAGUCGGAUUAGCUAGUUGGCGGGGUAACGGCCCACCAAGGCGACGAUCCGUAGCUGGUCUGAGAGGACGACCAGCCACACCGGAACUGAGACACGGUCCGGACUCCUACGGGAGGCAGCAGUGGGGAAUAUUGGACAAUGGGGGAAACCCUGAUCCAGCGACGCCGCGUGUGUGAAGAAGGCCUGCGGGUUGUAAAGCACUUUUAGUGGGGAUGAAAAGUUCCGUUCUAACAAAGCGGGAUCUUGACCUAACCCAAAGAAAAAGCACCGGCUAACUCUGUGCCAGCAGCCGCGGUAAUACAGAGGGUGCGAGCGUUAAUCGGAAUUACUGGGCGUAAAGCGAACGUAGGUGGUUGUGUAAGUCGAGUGUGAAAGCCCCAGGCUCAACCUGGGAACUGCAUUCGAGACUGCAUUACUCGAGUAUGGGAGAGGGCAGUGGAAUUUCCGGUGUAGAGGUGAAAUUCGUAGAUAUUAGGAAGAACACCAGUGGCGAAGGCGGCUCACUGGUCCGGUACUGACGCUGAGGUGCGAAAGCGUGGGGAGCAAACAGGAUUAGAUACCCUAGUAGUCC
rnacentral:rRNA from 1 species